AAGGAACUGACAGACAAAGGAAGUGGAAAGGACCCGGUCGGUCCUUCGGUCAGGAAAGUUAAGGGUACGAAGGACGGCAGGAAGGCAGGAAAGACGGAAGGAUCGUAGUCAGACGAAGCUGCGUUAGGGGGUGACAGCGAUACGAGUGGUAGAACGCGUCGGGUCUGUCCCCCAGGAAGGGACCGUCGCGCGCAACGCGAUCAAUUUUCGUUGCGACGCGGGCGGCGAGACUGGAGGAAAGGAAGAAAUGACGACUGCAGCGAGAUACCGAUAACCGGCCAGAUAAUGUUGUCGCAGAGCAAGUUUUACGCUCUCUUUAUCCACUACACGUUUGUGUAGCGCGACACGGGGCGGGUCCUUGCCGCUGCGGUGAAGAACAGUGGUGUCGGAAGAGGAGGUGGAGGUGCGAGUAGAAUAAAGGAUACAAAGAAGAAGAAGAAGAAGCGGAAGAACGGAAAAUAGAGAGAGAAUCGGGAACGAAGAAAUUCGUUGGAAUUGCAGAAAAGUUGAGAGGAUAGCUGAGAAACUAGGAUACGCUUCGUAGUGUCGUUGUCGUCUGUAUCCAUCGUGACAAGAAACAGGAACGAGAAAAGAAGAGAGGAAGGAAAGGGAGAAAAACAAGAAAGUAAAAGAAAGAAAGAGACACACACAACACACACGCACGCGUACAGAAAAGACAGAAAAGUUUGUCGUCGUACGGUGUGUUCAGUUUACAGUGUCGUUGCUUGGUAGUGUGCUACCCUUGCCGAAGCUGAACAAGCAAGGCCCGCGGAGGUAUCUCAGAACCCGCCCCUCCUCGACGUCGCAGUGCCUCUUCUCCAUAUCGCUACGUCGUGCUUCUUUUCUUUCAAGUCGCGACUAUCCCUGCGCUACCGGAGAAACUCCUCGACCAUAAGUAUCGAUCGACCCGAAGAUCAGACUAUGUUAUUUCGAAUAACGGAUUGAUCGCACCCGUCGCUUCAUUCACACGUCGGACAUGAAAAAUCUUGGUUCGCGUUGGACGGUCCCCAACAUAGCACGCACUGCCGCAGCGCGUUCGUCAUUUCUCGUCGCCAUUUCGUCGGAACGAGAUUCAGGUAGCAGCAGCAGCAGCAUCAUCAUCAACGAUAGCAGCAGCAGCAGCAGCAGCAGUAUUAGCGUUAAAGGCAGAAGAAGCAACGUUAGAAGUAGCGGUAGUGGAAGCAGUAAGGAAAGUAUCAGAGGCGUCACGGCGAUCGACAAGAAGAAGAGGGAAACGAAGAGCAUCGGUAGAUCGGCAGUCGACGUGCUGCACGAGUCGCAUUUAUCCGUCCGAUCGUACGUAACGGCGUCGUCAAAUCGGAUCGACGGCACGACGCGUUCCGAAUCGACGCCCAGGUACCGGCCUCUAGCCGGCAAGUCGCGCGGUUCCCAGCACCGGUCUCGUCCUCGUCAGCCGCAGCCGCAGCCACCGCAGCAGCCACUCUAUUACCCCCCCGCAUCGUGGGACA